rnacentral:rRNA from 1 species
GAAAGUGGUCAUAACACCUUCAGAAUGCCCAAUCAUGUCUGACUUUGGAAGCUAAGCAAGGUUGGGUCUGGUUAGUAUUAGAACAGGAAACCACUGGGAAUACCAGCUUCA